UAUUAUCUCUCCAAUUAUUAUAUAUACCACUAACGAAAUUUAAGCUAUUAAAGCUGAAUGAGGGAAAAUAUCCAGAAUUUGAAGAAGAAGCGCUCUGCAACUAGUAAAAGUUAAACAAGUAUAACUUUGAGAAAGUACCGGAACUUGAUAUUCAGGAGGUCGAUGCAAUCCGUGUUCCGUUGGCAUUAGUUUUUUAAUGCUUUUGUCAAGUGUUUCAAUGAUUGUAUUGAAUUCAUUUUUCUUGACUUUGGUAUACUUUUCAUGAACGCUUCUUUUGCUUUCAAGCUUGUUUAAAAAAUUGUUCAUGUCAGUUAAAAAUGUCUGGAAGUUUAUGGAUUAAUAAAAACAAUACAUGAAACUUAUAGUACUUUAAAAACAGUGCAGUACUGAGGCCCCAAACUGGCAGUGUGCCACUGAGUAUUAUCAUAGAUUGAAACCAAUGUUUCAAAUUUAUAGAAGAUUUCCUUCAACGUCGAGCUUGUUUCCCAUUCUUGAGACUUCUGAAAAUUUAGAAUUUUAGAUCCAAAUAAAUUGCUUUGAUAGUGGAAAAUUAUCUAAAAUAUUCCAUACUUACCGGAAGGAGUGUAAUUUGUUGGAAUAAACUGUUGAUAUCACACACAGUUAGCUUGAAUUGAUUAAUGUUCAAUACUGACUGAUUCUGAGGCGGCGGAAUGUUGGCUGUUGACUGUCUUUCAUUUGAAUUUGUCCUACUUCUGAAACUUUUCUGUUUUCAUUCAAAAAAUGUAUAUACAUAUAAUAAACUAAACUAAACCUUUCAUUUGGGCGAUUGGUUUGAAUUCCGAACUGAUCAACUGAACUAUCAAAUUCCGAUUUUAAUCCAUCUAGGUUUGCCCAUAGAUAUUCGAAGUUAUCGGUCUGUUGAAUAUUCCCGAUUGUUGAGCAAACAUGCAAAGCCUUUCCGAUUGUUACAUCAAUAUUCGUAAGAAGUUUCUGAAAAUACCACGAUAGAAAUAAAUAUAUUGUUAAAACUUAAAUUUCUUAAACUUAAACAACUUUCAAAAAUCAACCCACAUCUUGAUGUUCACUAAGUUUGUAACGACGGAGAUCUUGAACUUGAUCAUUGAGUAAGUUAUAAUUGCUUCUCAAUUUAGAAAACUGGGACGAAAAUUCAUGAGACAAUUGAGGAUUCUGAAAAUUGGAGAGUGCAUGAAUAUAAAAAUUAUUCAGCAACUUUACAACUAACCGAUAAAAUUUUCACAUUUUCCAGAAUUGUAUCUAUUGUUUGGCCUAUAUUGUCGCAUUUCGGAUAAUUUUGCUGAAUGUUCUGAAAUAUAUGAAUUUGUAUUCGCUGU
ensembl:antisense_RNA anr-30 ncRNA